AACGAACGCUGGCGGCAGGCUUAACACAUGCAAGUCGAGCGCCCCGCAAGGGGAGCGGCAGACGGGUGAGUAACGCGUGGGAACGUACCUUUUGGUUCGGAACAACUCCGGGAAACUGGAGCUAAUACCGGAUAAGCCCUAACGGGGAAAGAUUUAUCGCCGAAAGAUCGGCCCGCGUCUGAUUAGCUAGUUGGUGAGGUAACGGCUCACCAAGGCGACAAUCAGUAGCUGGUCUGAGAGGAUGAUCAGCCACACUGGGACUGAGACACGGCCCAGACUCCUACGGGAGGCAGCAGUGGGGAAUAUUGGACAAUGGGCGCAAGCCUGAUCCAGCCAUGCCGCGUGAGUGAUGAAGGCCUUAGGGUUGUAAAGCUCUUUUGUCCGGGAAGAUAAUGACUGUACCGGAAGAAUAAGCCCCGGCUAACUUCGUG
rnacentral:rRNA from 1 species